rnacentral:rRNA from 1 species
UACGUAGGGGGGCAAGCGUUGUCCGGAAUUAUUGGGCGUAAAAGCGCGCGCAGGCGGCUUUGUAAGUUUGGUGUUUAAUCUCAGAGCUCAACUCUGAUUCGCAUCGAAAAACUGCAAGGCUUGAGUACAGAAAGAGGAAAGUGGAAUUCCACGUGUAGCGGUGAAAUGCGUAGAGAUGUGGAGGAACACCAGUGGCGAAGGCGACUUUCUGGGCUGUAACUGACGCUGAGGCGCGAAAGCGUGGGGGAGCAAACAGG